rnacentral:lncRNA from 1 species
ACUUUUCCUUGAGGCUGGGAAUGUAGUUCAGUUGGUAGAGUUCUUACCCAGCACUCCGAAAGCCGCAGGUUUAGUCACCAGCUCUAUAUAAACUAGGGAUGAUGGCACACACCUGUAAUCCUAACUCAGGAUGUAGAAGCAGGAGGGUCAGAAGUAAAUGGCCAUCCUAGGUUGCAGAACGAGUUGAACUAGCAUGGGCUGACGCACUGUCACAAAGGUAGACAAACAGAUGAGUAAGCACUUUAGGGACUGAUCACAUAGAUGACAUCACAUCGUGACAUGUAACCCUAUCUCUGAAAAGGACUUCUGUAUGGACUGUGUACUUCUUACCAUCUUCAAAAAUUUUAGAGCUACAUUGGAAAGUGUGCAUACUUUAAAGACAUGAUGGACUCAGAUGCAUAACCCUUGAAAGUCUUGAAAGAAGUAGUCAUACAAGUUCUUAACAGUAAUCUUAUUCACAUUAAUUUUUUUUUCUUUUUUUCUUUGGAAACAAGAUCUCUCUAUAUAGCCAUGGCUGUCCUGGAACUCACUAUGUAAACUAGGCUAGCCUCAAACUUCUCCUUCUGUCUCCCUAGCACUGGAAUUAAAGAUAUACAUAUAUAAAACCAUGU